UUUCCGUAGGUGAACCUGCGGAAGGAUCAUUACAGAGUUCAUGCCCUCACGGGUAGAUCUCCCACCCUUGAAUAUUUAUACCUUAGUUGCUUUGGCAGGCCGUGGAAACACCAUGGGCUCCGGCUUAUGCGUGCCUGCCAGAGGAAACAAACUCUGUUUUUAGUGAUGUCUGAGUACUAUAUAAUAGUUAAAACUUUCAACAACGGAUCUCUUGGUCCUG
rnacentral:misc_RNA from 1 species